UUGGCCUCGGAUCAGGCGGGGAUACCCGCUGAACUUAAGCAUAUCAAUAAGCGGAGGAAAAGAAACCAACCGGGAUUGCCCCAGUAACGGCGAGUGAAGCGGCAACAGCUCAAAUUUGAAAUCUGGAGUCUUUGUUGGCUUCCGAGUUGUAAUUUGCAGAGGGAGCCUCGGAGGGCUGGUCGGUCCAAGUGCCUUGGAACAGGAUACCGCAGAGGGUGAGAGUCCCGUAUCCGGCCGACGCAGUGCUCCGUGUGAGGCCUCUUCGACGAGUCGAGUUGUUUGGGAAUGCAGCUCUAAGUGGGUGGUAAAUUCCAUCUAAAGCUAAAUACUGGCCAGAGACCGAUAGCGAACAAGUAGAGUGAUCGAAAGAUGAAAAGCACUUUGAAAAGAGAGUUAAACAGUACGUGAAAUUGUUGAAAGGGAAGCGCAUGGGGGCAGACUUGGACGCGGGGUUCAGGGUCUCUUUUUUGGAGGCGUGUACUUCCCCGCGGACAGGCCAGCAUCGGUUCUGGGGGCCGGACAAAGGCGACGGGAACGUGGCUCUCUUCGGGGAGUGUUAUAGCCCGACGUGCAAUGCGGCC
rnacentral:rRNA from 2 species